CCAUACGUGACUACAUGACUACUGGAAAAACCAUAGCUUUGACUAUGUGGACCUUUGUUGUAUUAAGCAAGACUUCCAGUUCUAUGUUAAACAGUACUUGGUAAAAGUAAGUAUCUAGUAUUAUUCUUAAUCUUCAAGGUAAUGCAUCUUAAGUUUCUCCAUUUACAUCAUAUUUUGCAAUAUGAUGUAGGGUUUUGGUAUGUAACCUUCACAAGUUAAGAAAUUUACAUUCUAUUCAUAUUCUUUUAAAGAGUUUUCACCAUAAGUAGGCAUGUAACAUACUUUUUCUGUGUUAAUUGAGAUAAUCAUAUGAUUAUUCUCCUUUAGUCUAUUCACAUGGUAAAUUACAUUGAUAGAUUUUCUGAGGUUGAAUGCAUUCUCCUUGGAUUCUUAAACUCCACUUGAAUUGUGAUGUAUUUUUUAACAUUCUGUUUAAUUAGAUAAGCUAAUAUUUUGUUUAAGACUUGUACAUCUAUAUUCAUAAGUGAAAUGAGUCUAUGGAGUUUUUUUAUUGUCUUUAUCUGGUUUUAAAAUCAAGAUUUCAAGAUUUUACUAGACAAAUAAAAUGAGUUGGGCAACUUUCUCUCCUUUUAUGUUUUCUCGAAUAACUUGUGUAAGAAGAGAAAUAACUCUUGAGAAUCCAGCACACUAUACCUGUAAAUCCAUCUGGGCCUGGAUUUGGAGGAAGAGGAGAUCCUUACCUACCCUUUCAAUUUAACUAAUGCCUAGUGGCCUUUUCAAGUUUUCUACCUUCUAUGCCAUUUUUAUCAUUUUACAUUUUCUAGGAAAAAACUUUACCUAGAUCUUUCCAGUUAUUUGUCUAGUACCUGGCGGUGCCUUCACAAAGAGAGGGGCACAAGAGGAGAAGUAUGUCUGUCUUUUGGGGGCAGAGGAAGUUUGACUACCUCUGCAUUUUCAGCAGAGCAAUGGCUAUAUGUGAUUCUCUGUUGCUUUGGAUAUUUGUGAUUAUAUAAUGAAUAUGUACACUUUUAUAAAGGUGUGUUUUUAUACAUGAUGCUCUGGUUUGUUUCUGUUUAUAUUAAAAUGUCAGGCUGAAAAUGAAUAAUUUUUAAAAA